rnacentral:rRNA from 1 species
AUUGAACGCUGGCGGCAUGCCUUACACAUGCAAGUCGAACGGCAGCACGGGUGCUUGCACCUGGUGGCGAGUGGCGAACGGGUGAGUAAUACAUCGGAACGUACCUUAUCGUGGGGGAUAACGCAGCGAAAGCUGUGCUAAUACCGCAUACGCCCUGAGGGGGAAAGCGGGGGAUCGCAAGACCUCGCGCGAUUAGAGCGGCCGAUGCCUGAUUAGCUUGUUGGUGGGGUAAAAGCCCACCAAGGCGACGAUCAGUAGCUGGUCUGAGAGGACGAUCAGCCACACUGGGACUGAGACACGGCCCAGACUCCUACGGGAGGCAGCAGUGGGGAAGUUUGGACAAUGGGGGCAACCCUGAUCCAGCAAUGCCGCGGGAGUGAAGAAGGCCUUCGGGUUGUAAAGCUCUUUUGUCAGGGAAGAAACACCGGCUCUAACACAGUCUGGGAAUGACGGUACCUGAAGAAUAAGCACCGGCUAACUACGUGCCAGCAGCCGCCGUAA